GAUGAAGAACGUAGCGAAAUGCGAUAAGUAAUGUGAAUUGCAGAAUUCCGUGAAUCAUCGAAUCUUUGAACGCACAUUGCGCCCCCUGGUAUUCCGGGGGGCAUGCCUGUCCGAGCGUCAUUGCAACCUUCAAGCGCGGCUUGUGUGUUGGGUCUCGUCCCCCGUGGACGGGCCCGAAAGGCAGUGGCGGCGUCCCGACAUGGUGCCCGAGCGUAUGGGAAUCCUCUUCCGCUCGAAUCGGCCCAUGCUGCGCUGGUCGUAACCAAAUUUUUUACCGGUUGACCUCGGAUCAGGUAGGGAUACCCGCUGAACUUAAGCAUAUCAAUAAGCGGAGGA
rnacentral:misc_RNA from 1 species